rnacentral:rRNA from 1 species
UACGGAGGGUGCGAGCGUUGUCCGGAAUCACUGGGCGUAAAGGGCGCGUAGGCGGCGCGGAAAGUCAACGGUGAAAGCUUGGGGCUCAACCCCGAGUCGGCCGUCGAUACUUCCGUGCUCGAGCACUGUAGAGGCAGGUGGAAUUCCGGGUGUAGCGGUGGAAUGCGUAGAUAUCAGGAGGAACACCGGUGGCGAAGGCGGGUCUCUGGGCCGAUACUGACGCUGAGGAGCGAAAGCGUGGGGAGCGAACAGG